UACGUAGGGUGCAAGCGUUUGUCCGGAAUUAUUGGGCGUAAAGAGCUUGUAGGCGGUUUGUCGCGUCUGCUGUGAAAUUUCGGGGCUCAACCCCGAACUUGCAGUGGGUACGGGCAGACUAGAGUGUGGUAGGGGAGACUGGAAUUCCUGGUGUAGCGGUGAAUGCGCAGAUAUCAGGAGGAACACCAAUAGCGAAGGCAGCUCGCUGGGACGGUACUGACGCUAAGGCGCGAAAGCGUGGGGAGCGAACAGG
rnacentral:rRNA from 1 species